AUAGAGACUCAGAGCUGCAUAUCAAUAAGCGGAGGAAAAGAAACUAACAAGGAUUCCCUAGUAACGGCGAGUGAAGCGGGAAGAGCUCAAAUUUGAAAUCUUCAAGGUUCUACCUUGACGAAUUGUAGUUUAUAGAAGUGUUUUCUGUUAGUGGAGUUGGUAAAAGUUCUUUGGAAUAGGACAUCAUAGAGGGUGAGAAUCCCGUAUUUGGACCAUUAUUUCCAGCUGUGUGAUACACUUUCAAAGAGUCGGAUUGUUUGGGAAUGCAGUCCAAAAUGGGUGGUAAAUUUCAUCUAAAGCUAAAUAUUGGCGAGAGACCGAUAGCGAACAAGUACCGUGAGGGAAAGAUGAAAAGAACUUUGAAAAGAGAGUUAAACAGUACGUGAAAUUGUCAAAAGGGAAGCGUUUGACACCAGUGUUGUUUUUCCGAAAAUCAAUUACGAAUGUUUUGUUUUUGAGGAAGUUAUGACUUCAUCGGCUUGCUCCUUUCUUUACGAAACUUUCUUAAUGCACUUUUCGGUUAACAAGUCAACAUCAAUUUCUUUUGUUGUAAAAGGGUAUGAGGAAGGUGGCUUCUUUUCGGAGAAAGUGUUUAUAGCCUUUGACUUCUGCAAUCGGAGAGAUUGAGGUCUGCAGCGUAGAUCCUUCGGGGUUAGAUGCAUUUGUGCUAAGUUAUAGCCUUUCAUAGACAACUUGUUGACUAUGAUCAGUCAUGUAGCUUACUCGCUUAUGUUAUUUUACCUACGCUUAGGAUGUUGAAGAUAUGCGCGACACG
rnacentral:rRNA from 1 species